rnacentral:rRNA from 1 species
UAGGGAAUCUUCCGCAAUGGGCGAAAGCCUGACGGAGCAACGCCGCGUGAGUGAUGAAGGUCUUCGGAUCGUAAAACUCUGUUAUUAGGGAAGAACAAAUGUGUAAGUAACUAUGCACGUCUUGACGGUACCUAAUCAGAAAGCCACGGCUAACUACGUGCCAGCAGCCGCGGUAAUACGUAGGUGGCAAGCGUUAUCCGGAAUUAUUUGGCGUAAAGCGCGCGUAGGCGGUUUUUUAAGUCUAAUGUGAAAGCCCCCGGCUCAACCGGGGAGGGUCAUUGGAAACUGGUUGACUGGAGUGCAGAAGAGGGGAGGGGAAUUCCAUGUGUAGCGGUGAAAUGCGUGGAUAUAUGGAGAAACACCAGUGGGGAAGGAGACUCUCUGGUCUGUAACUGACGCUGAGGCUCGAAAGCGUGGGUAGCAAACAGG